rnacentral:rRNA from 1 species
GACGAACGCUGGCGGCGUGCCUAACACAUGCAAGUCGAGCGGAGUCGAUCGACGGAAGCCUUCGGGCGGAAGAUGGUUGACUUAGCGGCGGAUGGGUGAGUAACGCGUGGGCAACCUGCCUCGAAGACCGGGAUAACAGCCCGAAAGGGCUGCUAAUACCGGAUGUGGUCAAGGAUCCGCAUGGAUUUUUGAUUAAAGGGGAAACCCGUUUCGAGAUGGGCCCGCGUCCUAUCAGCUAGUUGGUGAGGUAACAGCUCACCAAGGCGACGACGGGUAGCCGGCCUGAGAGGGUGACCGGCCACACUGGGACUGAGACACGGCCCAGACUCCUACGGGGGCAGCAGUGGGGGAUCUUGCACAAUGGGCGAAAGCCUGAUGCAGCGACGCCGCGUGAGCGAAGAAGGCCUUCGGGUUGUAAAGCUCUGUCUGGAGGACGGAAGGAAGUGACGGUACCUCGGAGGAAGCCACGGCUAACGACGUGCCAGCAGCCGGGUAAAAUCACGUGUAAC